rnacentral:rRNA from 1 species
UACGGGGGGUGCGAGCGUUGUCCGGAUUCACUGGGCGUAAAGGGCGCGUAGGCGGCCCGGUCAGUCGGUCCUUUAAGAGCGGGGCUCACCCCCGUGGGGGGACCGGGACGGCCGGGCUGGGGCGCGGCAGAGGGGGACGGAAUGCCGGGUGUAGUGGUGAAAUACGUAGAUAUCUGGAGGAACACCGGUGGCGAAGGCGGCGAUCUGGCCCAACACUGACACUCAGACCCGAAAGUGCGGGGAUCAAACAGG